GACGAACGCUGGCGGCGUGCCUAAUGCAUGCAAGUCGAACGAGAUUAUGUUGAAGUACUUGUACAGAUAUAUAUGACAGUGGCGAACGGGUGAGUAACGCGUGAACAACCAACCCUUCACAGGGGGACAACAUCUGGAAACGGAUGCUAAUACCGCAUAUGCUCACAGUACCGCAUGGUACGGUGAGGAAAACUCCGGUGGUGAAGGACGGGUUCGCGUUCCAUUAGUUAGUAGGUGGGGUAACGGCCUACCUAGACGAUGAUGGAUAGCCGAGCUGAGAGGCUGAUCGGCCACACUGGAACUGAGACACGGUCCAGACUCCUACGGGAGCAGCAGCAAGGAUAUUGUACAAUGGGGGAAACCCUGAUACAGCAACGCCGCGUGAAGGAAGAAGGCCUUCGGGUUGUAAACUUUCUGUUUUUAAGAGAAGAAACAAA
rnacentral:rRNA from 1 species